rnacentral:rRNA from 1 species
AGAGUUUGAUCCUGGCUCAGGAUGAACGCUAGCUACAGGCUUAACACAUGCAAGUCGAGGGGCAGCAUGGUCUUAGCUUGCUAAGGCCGAUGGCGACCGGCGCACGGGUGAGUAACACGUAUCCAACCUGCCGUCUACUCUUGGACAGCCUUCUGAAAGGAAGAUUAAUACAAGAUGGCAUCAUGAGUCCGCAUGUUCACAUGAUUAAAGGUAUUCCGGUAGACGAUGGGGAUGCGUUCCAUUAGAUAGUAGGCGGGGUAACGGCCCACCUAGUCUUCGAUGGAUAGGGGUUCUGAGAGGAAGGUCCCCCACAUUGGAACUGAGACACGGUCCAAACUCCUACGGGAGGCAGCAGUGAGGAAUAUUGGUCAAUGGGCGAGAGCCUGAACCAGCCAAGUAGCGUGAAGGAUGACUGCCCUAUGGGUUGUAAACUUCUUUUAUAAAGGAAUAAAGUCGGGUAUGGAUACCCGUUUGCAUGUACUUUAUGAAUAAGGAUCGGCUAACUCCGUGCCAGCAGCCGCGGUAAUACGGAGGAUCCGAGCGUUAUCCGGAUUUAUUGGGUUUAAAGGGAGCGUAGAUGGAUGUUUAAGUCAGUUGUGAAAGUUUGCGGCUCAACCGUAAAAUUGCAGUUGAUACUGGAUAUCUUGAGUGCAGUUGAGGCAGGCGGAAUUCGUGGUGUAGCGGUGAAAUGCUUAGAUAUCACGAAGAACUCCGAUUGCGAAGGCAGCUCACUGGAGUGUAACUGACGCUGAUGCUCGAAAGUGUGGGUAUCAAACAGGAUUAGAUACCCUGGUAGUCCACACAGUAAACGAUGAAUACUCGCUGUUUGCGAUAUACAGUAAGCGGCCAAGCGAAAGCGUUAAGUAUUCCACCUGGGGAGUACGCCGGCAACGGUGAAACUCAAAGGAAUUGACGGGGGCCCGCACAAGCGGAGGAACAUGUGGUUUAAUUCGAUGAUACGCGAGGAACCUUACCCGGGCUUGAAUUGCAACUGAAUGAUGUGGAGACAUGUCAGCCGCAAGGCAGUUGUGAAGGUGCUGCAUGGUUGUCGUCAGCUCGUGCCGUGAGGUGUCGGCUUAAGUGCCAUAACGAGCGCAACCCUUGUUGUCAGUUACUAACAGGUUCCGCUGAGGACUCUGACAAGACUGCCAUCGUAAGAUGUGAGGAAGGUGGGGAUGACGUCAAAUCAGCACGGCCCUUACGUCCGGGGCUACACACGUGUUACAAUGGGGGGUACAGAAGGCAGCUACCUGGCGACAGGAUGCUAAUCCCAAAAACCUCUCUCAGUUCGGAUCGAAGUCUGCAACCCGACUUCGUGAAGCUGGAUUCGCUAGUAAUCGCGCAUCAGCCACGGCGCGGUGAAUACGUUCCCGGGCCUUGUACACACCGCCCGUCAAGCCAUGGGAGCCGGGGGUACCUGAAGUGCGUAACCGCGAGGAGCGCCCUAGGGUAAAACUGGUGACUGGGGCUAAGUCGUAACAAGGUAGCCGUACCGGAAGGUGCGGCUG